rnacentral:rRNA from 1 species
AUUGAACGCUGGCGGCAUGCUUUACACAUGCAAGUCGAACGGUAACAGGGUGCUUGCACCGCUGACGAGUGGCGAACGGGUGAGUAAUGCGUCGGAACGUGCCGAGUAGUGGGGGAUAACGCAGCGAAAGUUGUGCUAAUACCGCAUACGUACUGAGGUAGAAAGUGGGGGACCUUCGGGCCUCACGCUAUUCGAGCGGCCGACGUCUGAUUAGCUAGUAGGUGAGGUAAGAGCUCACCUAGGCGACGAUCAGUGGCGGGUCUGAGAGGAUGAUCCGCCACACUGGGACUGAGACACGGCCCAGACUCCUACGGGAGGCAGCAGUGGGGAAUUUUGGACAAUGGGCGGAAGCCUGAUCCAGCCAUGCCGCGUGUCUGAAGAAGGCCUUCGGGUUGUAAAGGACUUUUGUCAGGGAGGAAAGCCUAGUGGCUAAUAACUGCUGGGGAUGACAGCACCUGAAGAAUAAGCACCGGCUAACUACGUGCCAGCAGCCGCCGUAACAC